GUGGCGGACGGGUGAGUAACGCGUGAGCAACCUGCCUACAAGAGGGGGACAACAGUUGGAAACGACUGCUAAUACCGCAUGAGACCACAGUGCCGAAUGGCACAGGGGUAAAAGAUUCAUCGCUUGUAGAGGGGCUCGCGUCCCAUUAGGUAGUUGGUGAGGUAACGGCCCACCAAGCCGACGAUGGGUAGCCGACCUGAGAGGGUGAUCGGCCACACUGGAACUGAGAAACGGUCCAGACUCCUACGGGAGGCAGCAGUGGGGAAUAUUGGGCAAUGGAGGCAACUCUGACCCAGCAACGCCGCGUGAGGGAAGAAGGUUUUCGGAUUGUAAACCUCUGUCCUUGAUGACGAAGAAAGUGACGGUAAUCAAGGAGGAAGCCCCGGCUAACUACGUGCCAGCAGCCGCGGUAAUACGUAGGGGGCGAGCGUUGUCCGGAAUUACUGGGCGUAAAGGGUGCGUAGGCGGUCUAUUAAGUUGGAUGUGAAAUCCCCGG
rnacentral:rRNA from 1 species